CGACUAAGCCAUGCGAGUCCCAGAGGGUUCGGCCCUCGGCUGACGGCUCAGUAACACGUGGAUAAUCUGUCCUUAGGUGGAGGAUAAUCUCGGGAAACUGAGGAUAAUACUCCAUAGAUCUAGGAUGCUGGAAUGCAUCUAGAUUGAAAGCUCCGGCGCCUAAGGAUGAGUCUGCGGACUAUCAGGUUGUAGUCAGGGUAAAGACCUGACUAGCCUACGACGGAUACGGGUUGUGAGAGCAAUAACCCGGAGACGAUAUCUGAGACACGAUAUCGGGCCCUACGGGGCGCAGCAGGCGCGAAAACUUCACACUGUGCGAAAGCGCGAUGAGGGAAUCCCAAGUGUUUGCUCGUAAGAGUAAACUGUUUCUUUGUUUAAAACGCAGAGAGAGUAAGGGCUGGGUAAGACGGGUGCCAGCCGCCGCGGUAAUACCUGCAGCUCUAGUGGUGAUCAUUAUUAUUGGGCCUAAAACGUCCGUAGCCGGUUUAGUAAAUGCCUGGGUAAAUCGUGUAGCUUAACUAUACGACUUCCGGGUAGACUGCUAAACUUGAGACCGGGAGAGGCUAGAGGUACUCCUGGGGUAGAGGUGAAAUUCUGUAAUCCUAGGGGGACCACCAGUGGCGAAGGCGUCUAGCUAGAACGGGUCUGACGGUGAGGGACGAAGCCCUGGGGCGCAAACCGGAAUUAGAUACCCGGGUAGUCCAGGGUGUAAACGCUGCUUGCUUGAUGUUAGUUGGGCUCCNAGCCCAACUAGUGUCGGAGAGAAGUUGUUAAGCAAGCUGCCUGGGGAAGUACGGUC
rnacentral:rRNA from 1 species